GACUCAAAGCCCAGCCCACUUUGCAGCGAGCUGCUUAACUGCCAAGAUCAGUAACUGAAAGGGACCCCAGAGGACACCAGGUCAGGCUCUCUCCAUUUGUAGAUGUGAAAAUGAAGGCCCAUUGAGGACAUAGGGACCUCCAAAGUUCCCACAGGUAGAAAGCUUCAGAGGCAGGAUUUAAACACAGGUCCUCUGACUCCAGAGAACAGAUGUUUCUCUUCCUGGUGGGAUGAAUUCUCUCCUCCUUUCUGACUGAGAAGGAGCCUAGAAGACUGUUUAUCAUUCAGCAGAAACCAAGCCUCUCCCUGCUUGGGCUCCUGUCAGCCAUGAUCUGGACAAUGAAGUGAAAUCACCAGCCAGCUUCUUACAACAGCCCCACUCCACCUUUAUGCCUCAUACAGCUCAUCCUUGCCCUUUCUGGUGUUUCUAGCUCAGAGGGAAGAAGAUACAUUAAAUGAGGUCUGAAAGACUCUAAUACCUUGGGCAAGUUUCCUUCAGAGGCUCAACGAAGCACUUUUCAAACUCUCCCUCCUUCCCCACCAAGGGGACCAACAAGUGCUGGUGAUUAAAGCCCCAGGCCUAAGGAAAGCCACCACUGGGGAAGAAAACAAGACUGAAAGGUUUGGAACAAAACCUCAGACCAAGCCAGGAGAGCAGACAAGGUUUUCUACGGGCAGCAGCAUCUGAGAUGGGCUGAAGAGGAUGCGAGGCAGUGGAAUAGAAAGAGAAAGGAGGAAGGCAUGCCACUGACAGGAAACAAAAUCACUUUCAGCAUCAUCACCAUCAUCAUCAUCAUCAUCAUCGCCAUCAAGCCCAUCAGUGACAUCAUCAUCCCCAUCAUCAUGGCUACCAUUUCAGCAAUGAUUCCAUACUGGAAAAGCGGUUUAUAAAGAAUCAAUCAAUCACUUUUAUUAAGCACCUACUAUGCACCAGGCACUGUGCUGAGCAUUGG